CCCUGCUUUUGUGGGGUGCUCGAGUGGCGAACGGGUGAGUAACACGUGAGUAACCUGCCCUUGACUUUGGGAUAACUUCAGGAAACUGGGGCUAAUACCGGAUAGGAGCUCCUGCUGCAUGGUGGGGGUUGGAAAGUUUCGGCGGUUGGGGAUGGACUCGCGGCUUAUCAGCUUGUUGGUGGGGUAGUGGCUUACCAAGGCUUUGACGGGUAGCCGGCCUGAGAGGGUGACCGGCCACAUUGGGACUGAGAUACGGCCCAGACUCCUACGGGAGGCAGCAGUGGGGAAUAUUGCGCAAUGGGCGGAAGCCUGAUGCAGCAACGCCGCGUGCGGGAUGACGGCCUUCGGGUUGUAAACCGCUUUCGCCUGUGACGAAGCGUGAGUGACGGUAAUGGGUAAAGAAGCACCGGCUAACUACGUGCCAGCAGCCGCGGUGAUACGUAGGGUGCGAGCGUUGUCCGGAUUUAUUGGGCGUAAAGGGCUCGUAGGUGGUUGAUCGCGUCGGAAGUGUAAUCUUGGGGCUUAACCCUGAGCGUGCUUUCGAUACGGGUUGACUUGAGGAAGGUAGGGGAGAAUGGAAUUCCUGGUGGAGCGGUGGAAUGCGCAGAUAUCAGGAGGAACACCAGUGGCGAAGGCGGUUCUCUGGGCCUUUCCUGACGCUGAGGAGCGAAAGCGUGGGGAGCGAACAGGCUUAGAUACCCUGGUAGUCCACGCUGUAAACGGUGGGUACUAGGUGUGGGGUCCAUUCCACGGGUUCCGUGCCGUAGCUAACGCUUUAAGUACCCCGCCUGGGGAGUACGGCCGCAAGGCUAAAACUCAAAGGAAUUGACGGGGCCCCGCACAAGCGGCGGAGCAUGCGGAUUAAUUCGAUGCAACGCGUAGAACCUUACCUGGGUUUGACAUGGAUCGGGAGCGCUCAGAGAUGGGUGUGCCUCUUUUGGGGUCGGUUCACAGGUGGUGCAUGGCUGUCGUCAGCUCGUGUCGUGAGAUGUUGGGUUAAGUCCCGCAACGAGCGCAACCCUUGUUCACUGUUGCCAGCACGUUAUGGUGGGGACUCAGUGGAGACCGCCGGGGUCAAC
rnacentral:rRNA from 1 species